GACGAACGCUGGCGGCGUGCCUAAUACAUGCAAGUUGAGCGCUGAAGGUUGGUACUUGUACCGACUGGAUGAGCAGCGAACGGGUGAGUAACGCGUGGGGAAUCUGCCUUUGAGCGGGGGACAACAUUUGGAAACGAAUGCUAAUACCGCAUAAAAACUUUAAACACAAGUUUUAAGUUUGAAAGAUGCAAUUGCAUCACUCAAAGAUGAUCCCGCGUUGUAUUAGCUAGUUGGUGAGGUAAAGGCUCACCAAGGCGAUGAUACAUAGCCGACCUGAGAGGGUGAUCGGCCACAUUGGGACUGAGACACGGCCCAAACUCCUACGGGAGGCAGCAGUAGGGAAUCUUCGGCAAUGGACGAAAGUCUGACCGAGCAACGCCGCGGGAGUGAAGAAGGUUUUCGGAUCGUAAAACUCUGUUGGUAGGGAAGAACGUUGGUGAGAGUGGAAAGCUCAUCAAGUGACGGUAACUACCCAGAAAGGGACGGCUAACUACGUG
rnacentral:rRNA from 1 species